UACGUAGGGUGCAGGCGUUAAUCGGAAUUACUGGGCGUAAAGCGUGCGCAGGCGGUCUUUUAAGUCAGCUGUGAAAUCCCCGGGCUUAACCUGGGAACUGCGUUUGAAACUGGAAGGCUUGAGUGUGGCAGAGGGGGGUGGAAUUCCACGUGUAGCAGUGAAAUGCGUAGAGAUGUGGAGGAACACCGAUGGCGAAGGCAGCCCCCUGGGCUAACACUGACGCUCAGGCACGAAAGCGUGGGGAGCAAACAGG
rnacentral:rRNA from 1 species